UCAUAGCGACUUUUGGGAUAGUUUGCUAUCGACAAAGGGAGACAAAGUCAAGGGGUGAAGGGAAAGGAGGGCCAAGUAGAGCCUCCACGACCCUCGGCUUCCUCCUCACCAGCUCCCCCUCCCUCCAAGUCCAGUAAGAAGUUGGGCCAAGCUGGAAGGGAUUGACCGGGUUGCUUGUCUGGAGAUGGAGCCACUACAGGCGGGCCUGGGCGCCUGGAGUCGGGCAUGAAAGAAAAUAGCGCCUCAUCGCUCUUAUCUAAGCCCAGAGCCGUUUCCUCUCCCUCGCCGGCCUCGGCGGAGAUUCCAGGCCCUAUAGAAACCAGGACGUCCCUUAGCGCCACCGCCUCACAUGCCAGUGCUGCCGGGAACCCAGCGAUAUCCGCACCAGCGGAGAAGGUUCCAGGCUGCCGGCGGCGGCGCAGAGAGCGGGAAGAGAGGCUCGGAGGAAGCCCCGGGCGUGGCGUGGUCAGGCUCCGAGAGCGGCCGGGAUGCGGCCACACCGGCCUGGUAAACUCGCACCUCUUAGGAUCUUGCUCCCGGACUCAUUCCCUUCCCCACCCCCUAUUUUAAAGUUUUAUUUGGGUCGUCUGUAUCAAUUUAGAACGAGAUAAAUUAAGACAAAGAAAGUAAAAUAAAUCGAAAUAAAAUAUAGGAAUAGCUCUUG
rnacentral:lncRNA from 1 species